rnacentral:ncRNA from 1 species
CCUUAAACUUACACAUGCAAGUCUCAGCACACCCGUGAGGACGCCCCUUACCCUCCACUAGACCUAGGAGCUGAUAUCAGGCACCAAAUUUGCCCACCACAUCUAGUCUCACCACGCCCACAAGGGUAUUCAGCAGUGAUAAAUAUUGUCCAUAAGCGACAGCUUGACCCAGUUAUAGGGAAGAGAACUGGCCAACUCGGUGCCAGCCGCCGCGGCUAAACCGCACGAGUUCAAGUUGAUAAACACCGGCGUCAAUCGUGAUUAAAGAUUAACAAAAUUAGAGUAAAACCCACACUUAGCUGUGAUAAGCUUGUCCUGGGGAAAACCAAAAACGAAAGUUACCCUAAUCUACUUGAACACACGACAGUUGAGAAACAAACUGGGAUUAGAUACCCCACUAUGCCCCACCGUAAAAUAUUGAUUUACACCACCCAACGCCAGGGUAUUACGAGCCUUAGCUUAAAACCCAAAGGACUUGACGGUGUCCUAUCCAACUAGAGGAGCCUGUUCUAUAAUCGAUAACCCCCGAUAUACCCAACCCCAUUUUGCUAAUCAGUCUGUAUACCUCCGUCGAAAGCUUAUCAUAUGAAUGAUUUCAGUAAGUUUAAGGGUAUAAUACACCAACACGUCAGGUCAAGGUGCAGCUUAUGAUGCGGAAAGCAAUGGGCUACAAUUUCUAAUAUAGAAUAUACGAAAUGCUACAUGAAACAUAGUCAUGAAGGCGGAUUUAGUAGUAAAAAGAAAAUAGCGAAUUCUCUUUAAUGAGGCCUUAGGACGUGUACACACCGCCCGUCACCCUCUUCAACAGUUCAUUUUGUGUUCUUAACAAUAAUUCACGCCUUAGAAGAGGCAAGUCGUAACAUGGUAAGUGUACCGGAAGGUGCACUUGGAUCUC